rnacentral:rRNA from 1 species
AUGCCUCCAGAGAAGAUCUGGAUCCAGGCGAAAAACAUCGAUGCUGCAGCAGGAGAGAUAAUUGGUGUUUUGGAGGAUACAAGCAAAGGAAAUGUGAUCUACUUCAAGGGCUGGGAAGGAUUUGGAGCAUCCGCUGUUCUCAAUCUGGUGGCCCAACGCCUGAAAUCAUCCACGAGACUGAACAAGUUUGACAAGGUUAUCCAUGUAGAUUGCUCGGUGUGGAAAAGCAUGAGGGCCCUGCAAAAGGUAGUAGCAGAGGAGCUGGACCUUCCACAGUCUGUGAUGGCCAUCUUUGAUCUAUGCGACGAGGAGGACGAUUUCAAUGGGAUGGAUCAAGGAUCCAGAGGGGUGAUAGCAGAUAUCAGAAGGGAAAUCUUCAGAAAGCUUGUUAACAGUAUAUUUGUGGUGGUUUUUCACAAUGGGAGCAGAAGAUACAUUGAUUUGUACGAUUGUGGUGUCCCAGUAACAACAUUUUUGAGUAACAAGAUGUUGUGGACCUGGCACGGGAGGUUCCGGAGCAAUCUCAUACUAGAAGAAGGGGAAAAGGAAAAGAUGAAGAGUCAGACAGAUGUUCGCUUAUUUCCUUCUCAUACUGGAUGUGAAAUUGAGGAAGGGCGAGAUGUACUGCAUGAAGAGGCUUUGGAAGUUGCCAAGUGCACGGGGAUUGUUCAUCCUGACGAUAUGAGCCACAAGAUAGUCAUGGAGUGCCUCAUAUACAGGACACUGAUUGUUACGGACAUGAAGACACAUGCACCAAACUAUUGGAUCUGCGAUGGCAUUAUACAGGGCCAAGACAAUGCAUCAGCAUGGGAGAUUGGCAAUUCUCUGCACAGAAACAUGUGCUUGGAUUUUGAUUUAACAUAUAAUGAGGAAACAACUCCCGUGCUACAGGUGUCGGAUGAUUUACUUGUUAACCGCUGGAAUUUCACCACCCACAAACAACUCCUAGAGGAUAAGGCUGGAGCGUUGCCUCCUCAGGUGACAUCCUUCUUCCUUUUUGCAGAUGAAUCACCAACAGAUAGAGCAUCAAUAUUGCCGGUUAGCAUGUUUCAACAUUCACAAAGCAGCAAGCUACGUGUGUUACACCUGUCUCAUUGCACCUUCAGUUUUGCAUCUCCUCCCUUCGUCCAUUGCGUCCAACUAAGAUUGCUCCAUCUGGACCAUUGCAGAAAUAUCACAGAGGAUGAUGAGCAUCCAAGCCACAAUGAAGACAUAUCAUGUUUCCAGAAGCUAUGGGUGCUGGAUCUGAGGUAUACACACUGGUCCUGGUUGCUAAGUGAAAAGAUGAAGAGAUUGAUGGUUGAACUCAGGGAGCUGAAUGUGGAGGGAGUCAAGCAUGGGAGCAUCAGUGAUUUGUGGGAUGGUAGACAUAGCCUUGUCAUACUUCGAGUAACAGCAGCAGAUCCAGUCCCUACGGAGAACAAAGACAAAUAUAGUCAAGCACAAUUCCCCAAUAUGUCCAGUACAAAUAGCCUUACGACAUCUUCCUUCAUCAACGAUGUCCUGCCUUCUUUGCUUGAGUCAUUUAGCUUCAGUAACAAAUCUACAACUACUGCCAAGAUAUCUAGCAUCUCCUUCCGGGGUUGUUCUCAGUUGAAGAAUAUACUUCUCAGAGGUAAUUUGGGGAGCCUGGAGGAGCUGGACCUCUCGGGAACGGCAGUGAAAACCCUUGACCUCAGAGAAGUGGAAGCUCCAAACCUCAAGCGUCUCAUGCUGCUGGGCUGUGAGAAGCUCUGUGCAAUAUUAUGGCCAUCGGAAGAUAAAAGGACAAGGGUUUUGGAGAAGUUGCAGAUCAACACCAUCCAAUCUGCAUCACCUAGCCAUAAUAAUUCGGAAGAGAAGACCAACGACGCUAGUACUGCUGCAGGAUCAUCAUCUAUCCUUACUUUUGGGGCUUCACCACAAGACAUCGGUCGAACUGCAUCUUUUGAGUUUCAGUGGUACAUAUCUGUAGUGGAUCCAAGGCUCAUGUGGUCGCUUCUUACCUUUCAACAACAACUUCUUGGGGAAGAAUUUGUAUACAUGGAGAUUGGUUCAUUUUCUGCAACUGGAGCUGCUGUUGGUGGUUGUGAAGUUGCUCAAGGCAUCGCGAGCCAGCAGCAGAUUACUCAAUACUUAUAUGCAAGAGAUAUCUUGCAAGAGCGCCUGCAAGUUGUCAGUGCUAUAGAAGGUGUUAUUAGCUGGAUGUGGGCUUGCCCACCUAUUCCUACUCCAAGUCCUCGAGACUGCUGGUACUUCCACAUGCAAGAUGAAGAGAGUAUGGAGAGAGGAUCGUUACAGCGGCAACACAACACCAAAAGGAUUAGUACCAGUGUUGCUUCAGCCCCUCUCCUUAUAUGUAAUUAUGCAAAGAUGUUGUAUGUGCAUGAUAGCUCGUCCAUCACUUGCGUUCCGUGCCCACAAGGUUCAAGGUGGCCGUGGCUUAAAUGGUGCCGAGUUGAGAGGUGCCCCAAGCUAUGCUCUGUCUUUGCUACUCCCCAACUAAGUGAUGACCUGGACGUCUUUUGGUCCUUGUCUACGUUCUGGGCGUCCCAGCUCCUGAAGGCGCGCUACAUCUGGAACUGGAGUGCAGUAGGUCAACCUGGUGGAGAUUCGUUCGAAGACCUAGCGUUCUUGCACCUGGACUAUUGCCCCAGACUCAUACAUGUGCUUCCCUUGUCUGAGCAUAUGGACACCCUGCCUAGCCUGGAGACGCUGGAGAUCGUGUGCUGCGGUGAUCUGAAGGAAGUCUUCUCUUUGGACCCUAAUCGCCAAGAGAAGCAGGAAACUAUAGAAUUUCCCAAGCUAAGAAGGAUCCACCUGUACCAGCUCUCCAACCUACAAAGCAUCUGUGGGAGCAGGAUGUCCGCGCCGAACCUUGAGACCGUCAGAAUCCGGGGCUGUUGGGGCCUUCGACGCCUGCCGGCAGUCAGCGGCAGCACCACCAACCGGCCCAAGGUGGACUGCGAGAAGGACUGGUGGGACAACCUGGAGUGGGACGGUGUGGAGGCGAAGCACGACCCUUCGCUCUAUGAGCCGAGCCACUCGCGAUACUACAAGAAGGCCCACGUACCAAGGGUCACCGUUCUCAGGUAA